GACAGAUGCUAGUGAAGCAGUAGACUGUAAGCAAACUAAGGGCGAGUUACUUUAAUCAAACUGACAGCAUUGGCUACUGGAAGAAGAGGAUUGUGCAUCUUGUAAGACUAAGAAGAGCAGAUUACAAGACAACUCAGCUUUCUAUUGCAAUAGUGAUAGCAAUAAAGUAAAUGAUACAGAUGAAUUCCAGCUUCAGCUGUUAAAUUCAGUAGAUGAUUGCCC